GUGCCAGCCGCCGCGGUAAUACGUAGGGAGCAAGCGUUAUCCGGAAUUAUUGGGCGUAAAGGGCGUGUAGGCGGCCAAUUAAGCUAGGUGUAAAAUGUUACAGCUCAACUGUAAAACUGCAUCUAGAACUGGUUGGCUAGAGGAUGAGAGAGGAAAGUGGAAUUCCUAGUGUAGCGGUGGAAUGCGUAGAUAUUAGGAGGAACACCAGUGGCGAAGGCGGCUUUCUGGCUCAUACCUGACGCUGAGGCGCGAAAGCGUGGGGAGCAAACAGGAUUAGAUACCCCAGUAGUCC
rnacentral:rRNA from 1 species